GAAAACAAGAAAAGAAGAAGGAAAAAAGAACGAAGCAGGUUGAUUUUGCAGAAACUCCCCACAGUAUUGGCCUCUGCCAUUUAUCUGCUUCUUCACUUUGCGAACUUCUUUUUUUGCUCCCAUUAUCUUCUUCCGUUUCAUUCAUAAAUUACAUAAGA
rnacentral:ribozyme from 14 species